UACGUAGGGUGCGAGCGUUGUCCGGAAUUAUUGGGCGUAAAGAGCUCGUAGGCGGCUUGUCGCGUCGAAUGUGAAAACUCGGGGCUCAACCCCGCGCUUGCAUUCGAUACGGGCAGGCUCGAGUUCGGUAGGGGAGACUGGAAUUCCUGGUGUAGCGGUGAAAUGCGCAGAUAUCAGGAGGAACACCGAUGGCGAAGGCAGAUCUCUGGGCCGUAACUGACGCUGAGGAGCGAAAGCGUGGUGAGCGAUCCGG
rnacentral:rRNA from 1 species